UCGACGUGUUUCACUUCACCUUACUCUUACGUAAUCGUGUUCGGUGGGCCUGAGCGGGAAUAAUCCCACGUAGUCGUCCCUUUCGCUGAAACGAAAUGGAGGAAAGUGAAAAAAGAGCGAUUAGAGGAAAGAGGAGGAUUUCAUGGCAUGUUUCAGUAUGCGAGGGACGUCGUAAAGAGAGCCGCUUGGGAAGGGGCGUUUUAAUUAUCGCCGAAACGCCGCCCGGUGGGCGGAAAUAAUUCGCGCCGUAAUUCUUAAUGGGCGGCCGCGCCGGGCAAAUGGCUCGGCACAGUCUGCACCGCGUCCUUUAAAUUACCAUUCGAGUGUCUUGAAACUCGGGAAAUAGAGGAUACCUAUGGAUGUGGACGUGGACGAGGACGUGGAUGUGUAAGUCCAGCCGGCUCGAGCUCGUCGCCAGGAUUUAACGAGCUCGUUCGCCCAGGGUAAAUUCCGCAAGCGUUUAAAGUCGGCUCGGCUCUUCCCUAGACAAGGAAGCCCAACUUCCACUUGGGCGCUGCCGAAGGGUCCAGGACGAGGAUGCCGGAGUCGCACUCCGGACAGCUGGAUAUCCCAUUGGAGUUCAUCCCAUGGGGACAGGUCGGAUGGGUGCAGGAGUUGCAGCCGCUCAUUCCCUUCUUCAUGUCCCUGGACACGUCAGGAUGCAAUUCCUUAUAUGAUCUAACAAGAGACACCUCGUGACCUGGUGGAGGGUGUUACCUGAAGGCUGGUUACUGACCGAGAAUGGGAUUUUCCGGACGCGGACAGCGGGGAGAACGUCACCUCGAACAGCUGGUCCAUGGCGUCGAUGCUUUGCACGAAAUAGUAGAACUUCUGCUUGAAGAUCUCCACGGUGUGCU